UGUGAGUGAACACAGGGGGAAGCACUACCCAAUUAUGCAUCUGCAUGAGCGUAGUCUUAGUGUGCUGGCUUGCCGUUAUGUUGAUGAAGUCAUCAUGGGUGCACCUUGGGAAGUUUCCAAAGAUAUGAUUACAACUUUCAACAUCUCUUUGGUUGUGCAUGGAACUAUUGCAGAGUGCAACUCCAUGUUGGCUGGCAUAGCUGAUCCCUAUGCAGUUCCAAAGAGCAUGGGAAUUUUCCGAAUUCUUGAAAGCCCUAAACGUAUUACUACCACUUCAGUGGCUCAAAGGAUUGUUGCCAAUCAUGAGGCUUACAUGAAACGCAACGCCAAGAAGGCAGAAAGUGAGAAAAAGUACUAUGCAGCGAAGGUCUAUGUAUCAGGAGAUUAGUGGAGAGCUUGUUUGGUGUACACUUCAUCUUAACGUCCCAUAGAAAUGCCUUUUUGCUCAAGACGCAAGUCUCAUAAUUUUGUUAGUGUGAAGGAGAUGAGAACGGAGCAAAAGAAGCUCUUUAUUAUUAUUAUUAUUAUUUUUUUCUCUCUCAUUUUGAUGUAACGUUAUAUGAGCACAGGCAAACCCGCAAUGUUUUCAUAUCAAAUGUUGAAACUGUUUGGGCGUUUAAGUUUUUCAGUGUGUUCAAACGCA
rnacentral:misc_RNA from 1 species